rnacentral:rRNA from 1 species
GAUUAAACUUUCCUUCGGGAAAGAUAUAAAGUGGCGCACGGGUGAGUAACACGUAGGUAAUCUACCUUUGAGUGGGGAAUAACUUAGGGAAACUUAAGCUAAUACCGCAUAAUGCAGCGGCACCUUCGGGUGACAGUUGUUAAAGGAGCAAUCCGCUUAAAGAGGAGCCUGCGGCAGAUUAGCUAGUUGGUAAGGUAAUGGCUUACCAAGGCUACGAUCUGUAACCGACCUGAGAGGGUGGUCGGUCACACUGACACUGAAUAACGGGUCAGACUCCUACGGGAGGCAGCAGUCGGGAAUUUUGGGCAAUGGGCGAAAGCCUGACCCAGCAACGCCGCGUGAAGGAUGAAGUAUUUCGGUAUGUAAACUUCGAAAGAAUGGGAAGAAUAAAUGACGGUACCAUUUAUAAGGUCCGGCUAACUACGUGCCAGCAGCCGCGGUAAUACGUAGGGACCAAGCGUUGUUCGGAUUUACUGGGCGUAAAGGGCGCGUAGGCGGCAAAUCAAGUCAGCUGUGAAAUCUCAGGGCUUAACCCUGAACGGUCAGCUGAUACUGUUUUGCUAGAGUGCAGAAGGGGCAAUCGGAAUUCUUGGUGUAGCGGUGAAAUGCGUAGAUAUCAAGAGGAACACCUGAGGUGAAGACGGGUUGCUGGGCUGACACUGACGCUGAGGCGCGAAAGCUAGGGUAGCAAACGGGAUUAGAUACCCCGGUAGUCCUAGCCCUAAACG